rnacentral:rRNA from 2 species
UCUGGGAUAAGCGUUGGAAACGACGUCUAAUACUGGAUAUGAUCACCGGCCGCAUGGUCUGGUGGUGGAAAGAUUUUUUGGUUGGGGAUGGACUCGCGGCCUAUCAGCUUGUUGGUGAGGUAAUGGCUCACCAAGGCGACGACGGGUAGCCGGCCUGAGAGGGUGACCGGCCACACUGGGACUGAGACACGGCCCAGACUCCUACGGGAGGCAGCAGUGGGGAAUAUUGCACAAUGGGCGCAAGCCUGAUGCAGCAACGCCGCGUGAGGGAUGACGGCCUUCGGGUUGUAAACCUCUUUUAGUAGGGAAGAAGCGAAAGUGACGGUACCUGCAGAAAAAGCACCGGCUAACUACGUGCCAGCAGCCGCGGUAAUACGUAGGGUGCAAGCGUUGUCCGGAAUUAUUGGGCGUAAAGAGCUCGUAGGCGGUUUGUCGCGUCUGCUGUGAAAUCCCGAGGCUCAACCUCGGGCUUGCAGUGGGUACGGGCAGACUAGAGUGCGGUAGGGGAGAUUGGAAUUCCUGGUGUAGCGGUGGAAUGCGCAGAUAUCAGGAGGAACACCGAUGGCGAAGGCAGAUCUCUGGGCCGUAACUGACGCUGAGGAGCGAAAGCGUGGGGAGCGAACAGGAUUAGAUACCCUGGUAGUCCACGCCGUAA